UUGAUCCUGCCCCUUCUCAUACCCUCAUCUCAAAAAUCCAGCCAUGCGUGUCUAAGGAUAAACACAUUCCAUGCGGCGAAACUGCGAAUGGCUCAUUCUAGCAGCUAUCAUCGAUUCGAUAGUACCUUACUACUGGGACAACCCUAGAAAUUCUACAGCUAACACAUGCCUAAAGACCCGCCUGCUUGUCCGACGGGUUGCAUUUAUUAGAUUGAAACCAAUAAUCUUCGUGAGUUUUUGAGUUGAGUCAUAAUAACUGUGCGGAUCGCGUUUUUCGCGAUAAAUCGAAUGAGUUUCUGCCCUAUCAGCUUUCAAUGGUAGGAUAUAGGCCUACCAUGGCAUUAACGGGUAACGGGGAAUUAGGGUUUGAUUCCGGAGAGGGAGCCUUAAAAACGGCUACCACAUCCUAGGAAGGCAGCAGGCGCGUAAUUUACCCAAUCCUGACACAGGGAGGUAGUGACAAUAAAUAACAAUGCCGGGCUUUUUCAAGUCUGGCAAUUGGAAUGAGUACAAUUUAAAUCCCUUAACGAGGA
rnacentral:rRNA from 1 species